rnacentral:misc_RNA from 1 species
GAAAUGCGAUAAGUAGUGUGAAUUGCAGAAUUCCGUGAAUCAUCGAAUCUUUGAACGCACAUUGCGCCCUCUGGUAUUCCGGGGGGCAUGCCUGUCCGAGCGUCAUUGCAACCCUCAAGCGCGGCUUGUGUGUUGGGUCUCCGCCUCCCGCCCCUCGGGGCGGCGGCGGGCCCGAAAGGCAGUGGCGGCGUCCCGACGUGGGAGCCUGAGCGAAUGGGAAGUUUAUCAUCAGACUGAUCGCUCCGGAGGGCCCCGACGGCGCCGGCCGACGUGGAAAUCCAAUUCUCUUCGGUUGACCUCGGAUCAGGUAGGAGUACCCGCUGAACUUAA